rnacentral:rRNA from 1 species
CGUGUAGGCGGCUCAUCAAGUCUGGUGUGAAAUCGCAGGGCUUAACCCUGCAUAUGCGCUGGAAACUGGUGGGCUUGAGUUCUUGAGGGGAAGCUGGAAUUCCAGGUGUAGGGGUGAAAUCUGUAGAUAUCUGGAAGAACACCGGUGGCGAAGGCGAGCUUCUAUCAGAGGACUGACGCUGAGGCGCGAAAGCGUGGGGAGCAAACAGGAUUAGAUACCCUGGUAGUCCACGCUGUAAACGAUGUGCACUAGGCGUGGGGCACGUACGUGCUCUGUGCCGUAGUUAACGUGUUAAGUGCGCCGCCUGGGAAGUAUGCUCGCAAGGGUGAA